GGGGGACCCCCGAGGCUGAACUAAUCCCCUGUCCCGGGACCCCCGAGGCUGAACCAAUCCCCUGUCUCGAGACCCCCGAGGCUGAACUAAUCCCCCGUCCCGGGACCCCCGAGGCUGAACUAAUCCCCCGUCCCGGGACAGGCAGAGCCCCCCGGACCCGCCCGGCCCUAUCGAAGCUGCGUCUGUCGCUGCUAUGGUAGAUGCAGUCAAAAAGGAGCCGAGAGCAAAGGGACUUUCCUCGACGGUCGCCGCUCAGUUGGAGCUUUUGUAACUGCUCGGCAACAUUUCGGGAAAGGACACGGCCCGCCAUGGGUUAGGGGGUUACUGGUGCUGGAAGUGGGCGGCUGCCGCAGAUCCGUGCCCCUGGGGUCUAAAUUGAUGCACCGGUGGGAGGGAGGGGUGUAUCCCAUCUUUCUGUAGUUUUGUUUUAACUUAAUAUUCUUGUAAUUUACUUAAACCUCUAGACUCUUUUUUCCCAGCAGCAUCCUGGCAUAGAAGGUGAUCCCAGGGCAUGGGAUGUCUCGUGAUGGCCUCAGCUGUGGUCAGGUAAAAUGGGGGGUCCAGGUUCUGGAGUCCUCCAUUGUGCUGAGCAUUUGGUUGGUUUUGUGGCUUCCCUGGGCCACAGUAAGAACCAGCAGCAUUUCCUGCCCCUCUGCUAUCAGACAGUGCCAGCAUGUGCUGUUCCAAGGCUGUGCAUCCUCAGGGUUUGUUCUUGGGGCUGGGCUGUGCAAACUGCCUUAGUUCUUGCUCCGUCUGGAUCGUGUAUGGGUGAGAUAAGGGCAAUUCCUCUCUCAGGGGCUCACUAGAGGCAGAACUGGGAAUCAUCCCUGAUCCAGAGCCAGUUGACUGCUCUGUUGUAGCUCCAUGUUUACCUGCAUGUUUAUCCAAGAGCUGUGGCUCCACGCAGUAGCUACAGGUCUCCAGCAACAUGCCAGAGCAAUGGGAAGGUCUUUGACUGCUGGGCCUCUUUUGUCCAUGACUGUCACUCACCCCUCCAAUACAUUUUUUGGGAAUUGGGCUGUUCUUUGCAUGUGGUUUUAGGGUGGAAUGAGUCAAAGGUGUGUCUACAAGAGUCUGCAGCCCACUGCUGAUGUUGGGGGUAUGUUACGAUGUCUUCCAGGGCUCCUGGGUGUUCCAGAGCUCACCCAUCUGAUGAUAAACCCAGCAGUUAAUCUGUGGAGAAGGGUGAGAACUUGUUAGCCCUGUCCCAAGGGCUUCAGCUUGCUUCCCAUAGGACCUGAGUUGUGGGGAUGCUGCUGUGUGGAGCAUGCCUAAGCAGAGGGUGAGCCAUCCUUGAGGGACUUGGUGCUGCAGUGUCAGACUGUUACUUCCCAGCUCUCUCCUCCAGAAGUGGGAGCUCUGCAGAGCCAGAUCCUGGCUCCUUCCCAAGCUGUGAGCUCCACUGAGUGGGAUCAGCCACAUUUCUGGGCUCCACUCACCCGCCGUGGAGGGAGAUGAAAUUGGUUUGGCUUCAAGUGUUGCCCAAGCUCCCGAUCAGAUGCUCCACAUGGAAGAACAGUCUGUUCCAUGGAGUUUUCUCAGCAGGGGGUCUGUGUAUCAAACACUUGGUGGUGGGUUUGAUCCCUGUACAGGCCAUUCACUUAAAAGCUGGACUCGGGGAUCCCUGUGAAUUCCUUCCAACUUAGAAUAUUCUCUGUGUGUGAUACAAAGUUGUAAUAAAUGCAAUUACUUCAAAUC